rnacentral:tRNA from 1 species
CAAACACGAUAACUAAUCCUAUCCUUUGCUA